GACGUAGGGCGCGAGCGUUGUCCGGAUUUAUUGGGCGUAAAGAGCUCGUAGGCGGCUUGUCGCGUCGUCUGUGAAAUCCCCGAGGCUCAACCUCGGGCCUGCAGUGGGUACGGGCAGACUAGAGGUGCGGUGGGGGAGACUGGAAUUCCUGGUGUAGCGGUGAAAUGCGCAGAUAUCAGGAGGAACACCGAUGGCGAAAGCAGGUACCUGGACCAUUACUGACACUCAGCUGCGAAAGCUAGGGGAGCAAACAGG
rnacentral:rRNA from 1 species